UUUUAAUAUCAUGACUGAUAAUGGAUUACUGUAUAUUGCAACGCCUGGACAUACACAUGGUUUGGAUAUACUGAAGACAAAAGGAAUAAUAUAUGGGAAUGGAUAAGGCUGAUUUCCCCCUGUCCACAGCCACGCCUACUCCUAAAGUAACAUCACGUCCAUCCUUACUAUGUCCUUUUACUGUAAAAUUGCCCGAAUCCUUAUGACCCAUUCCACUACAUGGCGUGACUUGUUUAAGCCUAAGAUAAAUUGGCUAAUCA